AUGAACGCUGGCGGCGUGCCUAACACAUGCAAGUCGAGCGAAGCACUUUGCUUAGAUUCUUCGGAUGAAGAGGAUUGUGACUGAGCGGCGGACGGGUGAGUAACGCGUGGGUAACCUGCCUCAUACAGGGGGAUAACAGUUAGAAAUGACUGCUAAUACCGCAUAAGACCACAGCACCGCAUGGUGCGGGGGUAAAAACUCCGGUGGUAUGAGAUGGACCCGCGUCUGAUUAGCUAGUUGGUAAGGUAACGGCUUACCAAGGCGACGAUCAGUAGCCGACCUGAGAGGGUGACCGGCCACAUUGGGACUGAGACACGGCCCAAACUCCUACGGGAGGCAGCAGUGGGGAAUAUUGCACAAUGGGGGAAACCCUGAUGCAGCGACGCCGCGUGAGCGAAGAAGUAUUUCGGUAUGUAAAGCUCUAUCAGCAGGGAAGAAAAUGACGGUACCUGACUAAGAAGCACCGGCUAAAUACGUGCCAGCAGCCGCGGUAAUACGUAUGGUGCAAGCGUUAUCCGGAUUUACUGGGUGUAAAGGGAGCGUAGACGGAUGGGCAAGUCUGAUGUGAAAACCCGGGGCUCAACCCCGGGACUGCAUUGGAAACUGUUCAUCUAGAGUGCUGGAGAGGUAAGUGGAAUUCCUAGUGUAGCGGUGAAAUGCGUAGAUAUUAGGAGGAACACCAGUGGCGAAGGCGGAUUGCUGGACAGCAACUGACGGUGAGGCGCGAAAGUGUGGGGAGCAAACAGGAUUAGAUACCCUGGUAGUCCACACUGUAAACGAUGAAUACUAGGUGUGCGGGGACUGACCCCCUGCGUGCCGCAGUUAACACAAUAAGUAAUCCACCUGGGGAGUACGACCGCAAGGUUGAAACUCAAAGGAAUUGACGGGGGCCCGCACAAGCAGUGGAGUAUGUGGUUUAAUUCGAUGCAACGCGAAGAACCUUACCAGGCCUUGACAUCCCUUGACGAUGCUGGAAACAGUAUUUCUCUUCGGAGCAAGGAGACAGGUGGUGCAUGGUUGUCGUCAGCUCGUGUCGUGAGAUGUUGGGUUAAGUCCCGCAACGAGCGCAACCCCUAUCUUUAGUAGCCAGCGGCCAGGCCGGGCACUCUAGAGAGACUGCCGGGGAUAACCCGGAGGAAGGUGGGGAUGACGUCAAAUCAUCAUGCCCCUUAUGAGCAGGGCUACACACGUGCUACAAUGGCGUAAACAAAGGGAAGCGAGACCGCGAGGUGGAGCAAAUCCCAAAAAUAACGUCUCAGUUCGGAUUGUAGUCUGCAACUCGACUACAUGAAGCUGGAAUCGCUAGUAAUCGCGAAUCAGAAUGUCGCGGUGAAUACGUUCCCGGGUCUUGUACACACCGCCCGUCACACCAUGGGAGUCAGUAACGCCCGAAGUCAGUGACCCAACCGUAAGGAGGGAGCUGCCGAAGGCGGGACCGAUAACUGGGGUG
rnacentral:rRNA from 1 species